ensembl:misc_RNA 7SK 7SK RNA
GGAUGUGAGGGAAAUCUGGAUCUGGAGGCCAGGCACUGUCCCCUUCCUCCCUCACCCCUCUAUGUGCACCAUUCCCCAAGCUGUGAAGCUGUGGUCCAAGAGAGUGACCACCACCAAUAGAGGAGGAUUUUUUUUCUGGUCAGGGUUGUAGGAAUAGCUGAGCUCCCCAGCUAGAACCUCCAAAAAAGCUCUCAAAGUACUUUGAAAUCUCCCUCCUCAAAUACUUGCAGAGUAGGAAAGAACCUUGGCUGAAGGUUAAAUUCCCUGGGAAGUU